AACUUAAAAUCAUAUAAAUCACAAAAUCCGUUUGAAAAUGUUCACUCUUCCAUUUUUUGCAAAAAGUGCUCGUUGUAGUUAUGCCUUUAUACAUCAUUCAUGCACAAUGAAAGUUGUUAAAACUCAAAUGCCGCUUCAUUGUGUAAAUGACUUAAAAGUAUUGAAAAGACAAUUUGGCAGCACACAAAUAACUAAAAUGGCGCCAAACUAAACUACAAUUUCCUGCACAUGUAGAUUUUGACUUCCUCCAAUCUUUCACUUUAAUUUCAUACGUCAAGCAAGGAGGUCUUAAAAGUUUAAACUAUUAUUUUUUGCUUUAAGAAAAAAUUAAUAUUUGAAAGCAGAAAGAAAAAAUUGAACAAGAUGAAAGUGAUCCAUACUAAAUAUUCUAUGCUGUCGAUUUAUCUUCAAAAAUCCAAGAACGCCGCCGCCAAAAUAUGGAAAAGUUGAAACAAACGUGCUCCGGUUGAUUGUUCAAAAGAAAUCCAAACAUGAAUAAAAUGAGCUUUCAAUGAGAAUUUUCGCCCUUAUACACUUUUUGUAGAUGAAAGUGGAUGCACUCGUUGCUGUCGAUUCAUCUUAUAAAAUCUAAGGACGCCGCAAAAAUGGGAACACUAUCAGAGUCUUCGCCGUAAGACGCGUCCUCAUGUUUAGAGAAACCGCCACAUGAACAAUGAAAUCCAAUAAAGUUGGUUUGCGCUGGAAGUUUGUACACAUCUGAAAUCUCCACAACCUUAAUUUCUUUAUAAAAUGGGAAGAUUGAAGGUUCCUACAACAUCGUCGUUUAAAGAAACAAAACUUGAAGAGAGCGGCAAGACUAAAAUGAUAUCUUAUAUGGUGUUAUGGACGUCCUUGUACUGGAUUUUCUAGAUGAUGAAAACUCCAAGAUCUUGAUACGAUGAAAAAAUGGACAAAAACAUCUGAAAAAUAUGUUAAAAUAUAAAUUAAAUAAAAACAAUAAAUCAUUUAAAAAAAGUAAA